rnacentral:lncRNA from 1 species
ACAGGCCAUUUUGUGUAGGAUUCUCUUAAAAAGUUGUCGAAAUUUAAGAUUAUCGAUUUUCCUGACAACUAGUACACAUAAAAGGACUUAAUCCCAACUGCGCUAAUUGAUGUUUUGACAUUCACUUUAUAAUCUUUGUUUUUUUUUCAAUGAGGUGCAAGUUGUUGGCACAUGUUUCCAUAUAUGGAAAGGUGUUGAAUCUUUCAAAACCCUAUCUAGUUCUUCCAUAUAUUCUUAUUUCGGUACCUUAAAAUGAUUUUAGGCAAUUCUUAGGAACAAUUUGUGCAUCACAUGCAUAGUUGUAGUUCAAAUUUGUCUCGUGACGAUACCUGUCUCUAAGAACUCUCCACACUUCUAGCUAGU